rnacentral:rRNA from 1 species
AGCAUGUGCGCGAGUCAUUGGGAAUCGUUAAACCUAAAGGCGUAAUGAAAGUAAAGGUUCUCCUCGCGGGAACUGAGGGAGGACGGGCGGUUUCACCCUUAAAAGUGGCCGCUCAGCACUCCCGGGGCGUCUCAUUCUCAUCGCGAGAAGAGGCGCACCAAGAGCGUACACGCUGGGACCCGAAAGAUGGUGAACUAUGCCUGGUCAGGACGAAGUCAGGGGAAACCCUGAUGGAGGUCCGUAGCGAUUCUGACGUGCAAAUCGAUCGUCGGAACUGGGUAUAGGGGCGAAAGACUAAUCGAACCAUCUAGUAGCUGGUUCCCUCCGAAGUUUCCCUCAGGAUAGCUGGCGCUCGUCGCGUACGAGUCUCAUCCGGUAAAGCGAAUGAUUAGAGGCAUUGGGGUCGAAACGACCUCAACCUAUUCUCAAACUUUAAAUGGGUGAGAUCUCCGGCUUGCUCGAAAACGACGAUGUUGAAGCCGCGAGACACGGAUCAGAGUGCCAAGUGGGCCAUUUUUGGUAAGCAGAACUGGCGCUGUGGGAUGAACCAAACGUCGAGUUAAAGCGCCUAAAUCGACGCUUAUGGGAUACCAUGAAAGGCGUUGGUAACUUAAGACAGCAGGACGGUGGCCAUGGAAGUCGGAAUCCGCCAAGGAGUGUGUAACAACUCACCUGCCGAAGUUACUAGCCCUGAAAAUGGAUGGCGCUGAAGCGUCGUGCUUAUACUCGACCGUCAGCGGCAUGUGCGAUCUGCGUCUUUAACGAGGCGCGGUCACGAAGCUCUGACGAGUAGGAGGGUCGCGGCGGUGAGCGCAGAAGGGCUGGCCGUGAGGCCGUCUGGAGCCGCCGUCGGUGCAGAUCUUGGUGGUAGUAGCAAAUACUCCAGCGAGGCCCUGGAGGACUGACGUGGAGAAGGGUUUCGUGUGAACAGCCGUUGCACACGAGUCAGUCGAUCCUAAGCCCUAGGCGAAAGCCGAUGUCGAUGCGGUGUAGAUUUAUCUUGAAAAAGAGCGAGCGAGCGAGCGAC